AACUUCCACGUGACCGUAUCAACCCCUAAUUGGGGCUUGCUCGGCGGCGUGUGUGCUGGCCUGUAAUGGGUCGGCGUGCUGCUGCUGGGCGGGCUCUAUCAUGGGCGAGCGUUUGGGCUUCGGCUCGAGCUAGUAGCUAUCAAUUUUAAACCCUUUCUUAAAUACUGAACAUACUGUGGGGACGAAAGUCUCUGCUUUUAA
rnacentral:misc_RNA from 1 species